rnacentral:lncRNA from 1 species
ACAGGUAAUCAGGAACGAUUCCGCAGAAUCUGUUGGAGUUGAUGCGGAAGGACGCCAGAUCGGUCAGCAGCCGUAGCAGUUUUCACUAUAGAUUAAAUUCAAUCCUGAAUACUACGAAUUAUUUCGGCUAAUCAGUUUUCACACAUAAGCAAAUAAAUCAGGUUCACACAUAAAGCUAAUCCAAUUCUACAAAUUGUUUCAGCUAAUCGUGAAUAUUAGAAGUCAAGCAACCAGAUAAACACUAUAAUCAAUUCAAUUUUCGCCAAAUUAAAAGAGAACAGUGGCAACAAAAGAAUUUGAACAAAAAAC